UCCCUUUUCAGCCUCUUGUAGGUUUUUACAUUUCAGUUUCACUUGGCAUUUUGUUCAGUGGUGUUUCUUGUUUUGUUAAUUUUCCUUUUUUGGGGGAAAGGGGUUCAGGUGGUCUGGCUUGCUCCUCCAACAAAUGAACAGCAGCCCACAAGCCAGAAGCUGUCUGCAAGGCUUCAUUUCCCUCUUCACCGAGCAUAACCAUAACCAUAACCAGCUUCAGACUAUUUGCCGAGCCCACUUCUGCCCCACACUGAGAGGGUAAUCAGAACCAUCUAUCACUAAGUGAAUGGACUGCUGUUCUCCUUUCCAUCCUUCUGGACCAUCCCGUUCCUCAGUCUUGGACUUGUAGGAGUUUACUUCCCUGGAUGAGUAAUGACUUCCUGUUAGAAUGAGAGAUAAAAUACAUAUGAAUUGAAUCUUCAUAUGAGUAGAAGAGAACCGGCAAUCAGAUUUGACGACACUGUAUGUUUAUCUGUUCCCAGAACUUAGCAUGGGUCACACCAGGAUAUUUAUUACUAUAAUCUAUAUUCAAGAUUUAUGACAUGGUGGUCUUUUA